GAGGGUAUAGCUCAGUGGUAGAGUGUACGCUUGGCAUGCAUGAGGUCCUGGGUUCAGUCCCCAGUACAUCCA
rnacentral:tRNA from 1 species